UACGUAGGCAGCGAGCGUUGUUCGGAGUUACUGGGCGUAAAGGGUGUGUAGGCGGUUGUUUAAGUUUGGUGUGAAAUCUCUCAGCUCAACUGGGAGCAGCCAUUGAAAACUACGUGACUAGAGGACAGCAGAGGUAAGCGGAAUUCCUGGUGUAGCAGUGAAAUGCGUAGAUAUCAGGAGGAACACCGAUGGCGAAGGCAGGUCUCUGGGCUGACACUGACUCAUGCACGAAAGCGUGGGGAGCAAACAGG
rnacentral:rRNA from 1 species